rnacentral:rRNA from 1 species
GACGAACGCUGGCGGCGUGCUUAACACAUGCAAGUCGAACGGUGAAGCCUUUCGGGGUGGAUCAGUGGCGAACGGGUGAGUAACACGUGGGCAAUCUGCCCUGCACUCUGGGACAAGCCCUGGAAACGGGGUCUAAUACCGGAUAUGACUUCCUGCCGCAUGGUGGGGGGUGGAAAGCUCUGGUGGUGCAGGAUGAGCCCGCGGCCUAUCAGCUUGUUGGCGGAGUAACGGCCCACCAAGGCAACGAUCGGUAGCUGGUCUGAGAGGACGAUCAGCCACACUGGGACUGAGACACGGCCCAGACUCCUACGGGAGGCAGCAGUGGGGAAUCUUGCGCAAUGGGCGAAAGCCUGACGCAGCGACGCCGCGUGCGGGAAGAAGGCCUUCGGGUUGUAAACCGCUUUCAGGAGGGACGAAGCUACUCGGGUUAAUAGCCCAGAGGGUGACGGUACCUCCAGAAGAAGCCCCGGCUAAC